CAGAGGAGAAGUCAGAGGACAGUUGAUAAGACACGUAGAAGACUUCAUACUGAAGAAGAAGCAAACAACAAAAAUACAACAUAUCAACGAGUUGUGAGUGAGAAACUUAGCGCCCAGAUAAUAAUCUACAAAGAAGACGUCACUUUGUAAAUGUGAAAAUGAUUUGGAUCUACAUGAUCAUCUCAUCUCUGGCAACGGCAGCUCUUUCAAAAGGU